rnacentral:rRNA from 1 species
UACGGAGGGUCCAAGCGUUAUCCGGAAUCAUUGGGUUUAAAGGGUCCGUAGGCGGUUUUGUAAGUCAGUGGUGAAAGCCCAUCGCUCAACGGUGGAACGGCCAUUGAUACUGCAAGACUUGAAUUAUUGUGAAGUAACUAGAAUAUGUAGUGUAGCGGUGAAAUGCUUAGAGAUUACAUGGAAUACCAAUUGCGAAGGCAGGUUGCUACCAAUACAUUGACGCUGAUGGACGAAAGCGUGGGGAGCGAACAGG